rnacentral:piRNA from 2 species
UGAGGCAGCUGAUCAAAGCAAGUGGAAGGGU